rnacentral:rRNA from 1 species
GACGAACGCUGGCGGCGUGCUUAACACAUGCAAGUCGAACGAAGAGCGAUGGAAGCUUGCUUCUAUCAAUCUUAGUGGCGAACGGGUGAGUAACGCGUAAUCAACCUGCCCUUCAGAGGGGGACAACAGUUGGAAACGACUGCUAAUACCGCAUACGAUCUAAUCUCGGCAUCGAGGAUAGAUGAAAGGUGGCCUCUACAUGUAAGCUAUCACUGAAGGAGGGGAUUGCGUCUGAUUAGCUAGUUGGAGGGGUAACGGCCCACCAAGGCGAUGAUCAGUAGCCGGUCUGAGAGGAUGAACGGCCACAUUGGGACUGAGACACGGCCCAGACUCCUACGGGAGGCAGCAGUGGGGAAUCUUCCGCAAUAGACGAAAGUCUGACGGAGCAACGCCGCGUGAGUGAUGACGGCCUUCGGGUUGUAAAGCUCUGUUAAUCGGGACGAAAGGCCUUCCUGCGAAUAGUGAGAAGGAUUGACGGUACCGGAAUAGAAAGCCACGGCUAACUACGUG